CUCCGCCGUAGCACGAUAUUGUCCGCUUUGGGCACCCCUCUCUGCCCUCACGGUGUUGUUUCUGGGAGCUCACGAGCAACUUCCCAGUGGGUCACCCAUCCUGGGAUUGUUCUAGCCCCCAACUCGCUUAACUUCGGAGUUCCUACGACUCCGAAGCCAGUGAGCUCUCAAAAGGCCUCGUGCUAGAUGGAUGCGGGUGUGUACAUAUAAGGCACAUCGUCCCCUCUCCGUUGGUUGAUGUGGGAUCUUACAAUCCACCACCCUUAAGGGCCCGACGUCC
rnacentral:lncRNA from 1 species